CUUUGUUUCUUCAGAAACAAAGCGAGACGCCGCUACCAUCUCCGAAUAUAAAGAAACCCGUCUUACAUCUGGCCCCUGAACAGGGACGGCCCCACAUGGAGCAACUGGGACAGCCCCCCCCUUCCGAGGGAGCCACAACCAACAUACUUACCAGCAUCUGGAAUAGACCUCUAAGAGCACUUUCGUACUAUGGGACCCCUCAGUGAAUUCUGGUUUGUGGGCUUCCGAUUCUGGUUCGUGGCAUCACUAGUCGCAUGGGGAGACUUCUCUCCUUGUCAACUAGGUUUCCCUCCAUCGGUGGACCCUUAUACAGGUCCAAAGUCACCCUGGAGGGUGCGACUUCUGUUGAGGAGGCUGCGGUCUGGCUGCGGAGGAGCAGCGGCUCCUCCAGCUCUCCGGACGAAACUCUGAGGACCGACAGAGAAGAAGAUUGGCCAGGAAAAUGGCUGAUUGCUCUGCCGUUUCAGACCAUUAAGUCGAACAACAUCUAAGCUUUUAGUGCCCCCGUGGUGAAUCCGGGUGAGAAUUUUUUCUUAUUUUUCUCUCUUUUCCGUUUAUUUUUUUGAUUGUGUGCCUUUAAAGAGCUCUUGAAAUUAUUUCCCUGGCUUGGAAAGGUGGCUUCUGCUUUUUUAUGGGAAGAAAGGCAUUUCACAAACACUGAAAGGCUAUAAUCUAUUUUUAUUGGGACACU